GUGGAUUAGAUACCCUGGUAGUCCUAGCCCUAAACCAUCAGGACUUGGGGUUUGCCCUGUACGGGGCAAGUCCCGUAGCUAACGCGUUAAGUCCUGCGCCUGGGGAGUACGGUCGCAAGACUGAAACUCAAAGGAAUUGACGGGGGCCCGCACAAGCGGUGGAACAUGUGGUUCAAUUCGACGCAACGCGAAGAACCUUACCUGGGCUUGAACCGCACAGGACCAUCUUUGGAAACAGAGACUUCCCGCAAGGGACCUGUGUAGAGGUGCUGCAUGGUCGUCGACAACU
rnacentral:rRNA from 1 species